rnacentral:lncRNA from 1 species
AAAAUAUGAGCAAAAUAGUUACAGAUAAUGUACGUAUCCUGUACCACGUCCGAGUUAGUUUAUGUAUCCUGCUGAGUGAGGUUGUAAGCCCUGCCCUAUAUAGGAGCUUUGACUUGGUUCUGGUUCCUCGGGCACUCCCUUGUAUAAUGUUAGGCGCUACCACAUAUGUGGCAAGUGUUGUUGAGGCGAUAAUAGGGUCAGUCCCAUGAUCCUUGCCAUAGCACUGACAGGUCCUACCGCAUCCUGUUACUAGAACCUGAGAGAGAGCCUGAGUCAUCGGCCUGGGUCUCUUGUUAUGUUGAACAGGUGCAGUAGGUGUUGGUUUGCAGUGUGGAGCCGAGGGCCUAAGGUUCCCUACUGCUGGAGGGAAAAUGCGAAGGUUCCUCUCCACUAACUGUGCAUUGGCAAGAACAACUGAGUAAGUACUGAGUUUGAACGCGUACAACUGUUGUCUGAUCUC